rnacentral:rRNA from 1 species
UACGGGGGGGGCAAGCGUUGUUCGGAAUUACUGGGCGUAAAGGGCUCGUAGGUGGCCAACUAAGUCAGACGUGAAAUCCCUCGGCUUAACCGGGGAACUGCGUCUGAUACUGGAUGGCUUGAAUCCGGGAGAGGGAUGCAGAAUUCCAGGUGUAGCGGUGAAAUGCGUAGAUAUCUGGAGGAAUACCGGUGGCGAAGGCGGCAUCCUGGACCGGCAUUGACGCUGAUGCGCGAAAGCCAGGGGAGCGAACGGG